rnacentral:rRNA from 1 species
ACCUGCGGAAGGAUCAUUGUCGUGACCCUGACCCAAAACAGACCGUGAACGUGUCAUCAAUGCCUCCGGGGAAUGGGACUUGCACCCAUUUCUUGGUACAGAGGCCACCAACCUUUCGGUGGUGGUGGCCCCAAAAGAACCCACGGCGCCGUAUGGCGUCAAGGAACACUAAGAUUGCCUUGCUUGGGGUGACGGUCGGCAUGCCGGACGCACCUCGAGCAGCGAUGCUAUGUUAAUCCACAUGACUCUCGGCAACGGAUAUCUCGGCUCUCGCAUCGAUGAAGAACGUAGCAAAAUGCGAUACCUGGUGUGAAUUGCAGAAUCCCGUGAACCAUCGAGUUUUUGAACGCAAGUUGCGCCCGAGGCCUUCUGGCUAAGGGCACGUCUGCCUGGGCGUCACGCUAAAAGACACUCCCAACCCAUCCUGGUGAGGACGUGGUGUUUGGUCCCUCGUGCCGCAGGGCACGGUGGACUAAAGUUUGGGCUGCCGGCGGUGCCGAUCACAGCACUAGGUGGAUGACCACAAGUCGUUCUCGAUUGCUAUGAUUUGGACCUGGUUCCGGUGAUGCCAUGGCCCUUUGGACCCAUCGACCGUGGCGCAAGUCGCUCGGACCGCGACCCCAGGUCAGUCGGGAUUACCCGCUGAAUUUAAGCAUAUCAAUAAGCGG